rnacentral:tRNA from 1 species
GGGGUGUUAAGUUAAAAAGACUAUAGUAUUUCAAGUAUUAAAGUGGGACGGAGUUCACACCUCG